rnacentral:lncRNA from 1 species
CAGAGAGACACACCUCUUGCUUGUUCAGGUUCCAGAUUCUGAAUUCGACCUUCUCUUAACUCCGCAGAAUGCAGUUGAGAUGCAUAGAAAAAGUCUGGGACUACUUACACCUAUUUGCUAGCAUGUCUUUGAAGAAUGUUACUAGAGAGAAGCAGGUACAACCUUGUGAUUAUUAUGCUUUGAACUUGAUGCUGUGCUGAACACAUAAAAAGAGCCCUCAUGAUGAGAGAUUGGAAGGAGAAUGAAAGAAAGGAAGCAAGAUCAUCCAGAGAACCAUGAAGUAGUGACCUUCAGUGACCUUCAGUGAUGAGGUCUGGCAUUCAUCAGCAUUCACACAUCUGCAGAAGGGGUAUGAGGGAGAAAUGACUUCAUUAAUUAUUGUGUCACCAAGUUUUUCUUCUCUUGAUUCCUAAGAAGAAGAAACAGAGAUUACAUGUGUUUACUUAAGGGUAAGCACUAACUGAAUGCUUACUGAGUGGCUAGAUGAAUAUCUAAAAAAAAAAAUGGUUUCUGUAGGCGUUGGAUUCUGCUCAAUGCUUAUGCCCACCCAGAAUGCUCUAUAAAACCUUCACUGUUGUUCUCAGGAUCAGCCUUCCUGAAUUCAUCCUAUAAACUUUUAAUGAGUGACCUGUUUGUAAAACUCCCUUCCAGAUUGGCAAAUACAAGUUGAUAGAGAA